rnacentral:rRNA from 1 species
UACGUAGGGGGGCGAGCGUUGUCCGGAUUUAUUGGGCGUAAAGAGCGUGUAGGCGGUUCGGUAAGUCUGUCGUGAAAUCCUGAGGCUCAACCUCGGGCGUGCGAUGGAUACUGGGGGAUCUCGAGUCCGGAAGAGGUGAGUGGAACUCCGAGUGUAGAGGUGAAAUUCGUAGAUAUUCGGAAGAACACCAGUGGCGAAGGCGGCUCACUGGUCCGGUACUGACGCUGAGGUGCGAAAGCGUGGGGAGCAAACAGG